rnacentral:rRNA from 1 species
ACAUGCUGUGAGCUCGAUGAGUAGGGCGGGACACGUGGUAUCCUGUCUGAAUAUGGGGGGACCAUCCUCCAAGGCUAAAUACUCCUGACUGACCGAUAGUGAACCAGUACCGUGAGGGAAAGGCGAAAAGAACCCCGGCGAGGGGAGUGAAAAAGAACCUGAAACCGUGUACGUACAAGCAGUGGGAGCCUCUUUAUGGGGUGACUGCGUACCUUUUGUAUAAUGGGUCAGCGACUUAUAUUCUGUAGCAAGGUUAACCGAAUAGGGGAGCCGAAGGGAAACCGAGUCUUAACUGGGCGUUAAGUUGCAGGGUAUAGACCCGAAACCCGGUGAUCUAGCCAUGGGCAGGUUGAAGGUUGGGUAACACUAACUGGAGGACCGAACCGACUAAUGUUGAAAAAUUAGCGGAUGACUUGUGGCUGGGGGUGAAAGGCCAAUCAAACCGGGAGAUAGCUGGUUCUCCCCGAAAGCUAUUUAGGUAGCGCCUCGUGAAUUCAUCUCCGGGGGUAGAGCACUGUUUCGGCAAGGGGGUCAUCCCGACUUACCAACCCGAUGCAAACUGCGAAUACCGGAGAAUGUUAUCACGGGAGACACACGGCGGGUGCUAACGUCCGUCGUGAAGAGGGAAACAACCCAGACCGCCAGCUAAGGUCCCAAAGUCAUGGUUAAGUGGGAAACGAUGUGGGAAGGCCCAGACAGCCAGGAUGUUGGCUUAGAAGCAGCCAUCAUUUAAAGAAAGCGUAAUAGCUCACUGGUCGAGUCGGCCUGCGCGGAAGAUGUAACGGGGCUAAACCAUGCACCGAAGCUGCGGCAGCGACGCUUAUGCGUUGUUGGGUAGGGGAGCGUUCUGUAAGCCUGCGAAGGUGUGCUGUGAGGCAUGCUGGAGGUAUCAGAAGUGCGAAUGCUGACAUAAGUAACGAUAAAGCGGGUGAAAAGCCCGCUCGCCGGAAGACCAAGGGUUCCUGUCCAACGUUAAUCGGGGCAGGGUGAGUCGACCCCUAAGGCGAGGCCGAAAGGCGUAGUCGAUGGGAAACAGGUUAAUAUUCCUGUACUUGGUGUUACUGCGAAGGGGGGACGGAGAAGGCUAUGUUGGCCGGGCGACGGUUGUCCCGGUUUAAGCGUGUAGGCUGGUUUUCCAGGCAAAUCCGGAAAAUCAAGGCUGAGGCGUGAUGACGAGGCACUACGGUGCUGAAGCAACAAAUGCCCUGCUUCCAGGAAAAGCCUCUAAGCAUCAGGUAACAUCAAAUCGUACCCCAAACCGACACAGGUGGUCAGGUAGAGAAUACCAAGGCGCUUGAGAGAACUCGGGUGAAGGAACUAGGCAAAAUGGUGCCGUAACUUCGGGAGAAGGCACGCUGAUAUGUAGGUGAAGCGACUUGCUCGUGGAGCUGAAAUCAGUCGAAGAUACCAGCUGGCUGCAACUGUUUAUUAAAAACACAGCACUGUGCAAACACGAAAGUGGACGUAUACGGUGUGACGCCUGCCCGGUGCCGGAAGGUUAAUUGAUGGGGUUAGCGGUAACGCGAAGCUCUUGAUCGAAGCCCCGGUAAACGGCGGCCGUAACUAUAACGGUCCUAAGGUAGCGAAAUUCCUUGUCGGGUAAGUUCCGACCUGCACGAAUGGCGUAAUGAUGGCCAGGCUGUCUCCACCCGAGACUCAGUGAAAUUGAACUCGCUGUGAAGAUGCAGUGUACCCGCGGCAAGACGGAAAGACCCCGUGAACCUUUACUAUAGCUUGACACUGAACAUUGAGCCUUGAUGUGUAGGAUAGGUGGGAGGCUUUGAAGUGUGGACGCCAGUCUGCAUGGAGCCGACCUUGAAAUACCACCCUUUAAUGUUUGAUGUUCUAACGUUGGCCCCUAAUCGGGGUUGCGGACAGUGUCUGGUGGGUAGUUUGACUGGGGCGGUCUCCUCCUAAAGAGUAACGGAGGAGCACGAAGGUUGGCUAAUCCUGGUCGGACAUCAGGAGGUUAGUGCAAUGGCAUAAGCCAGCUUGACUGCGAGCGUGACGGCGCGAGCAGGUGCGAAAGCAGGUCAUAGUGAUCCGGUGGUUCUGAAUGGAAGGGCCAUCGCUCAACGGAUAAAAGGUACUCCGGGGAUAACAGGCUGAUACCGCCCAAGAGUUCAUAUCGACGGCGGUGUUUGGCACCUCGAUGUCGGCUCAUCACAUCCUGGGGCUGAAGUAGGUCCCAAGGGUAUGGCUGUUCGCCAUUUAAAGUGGUACGCGAGCUGGGUUUAGAACGUCGUGAGACAGUUCGGUCCCUAUCUGCCGUGGGCGCUGGAGAACUGAGGGGGGCUGCUCCUAGUACGAGAGGACCGGAGUGGACGCAUCACUGGUGUUCGGGUUGUCAUGCCAAUGGCACUGCCCGGUAGCUAAAUGCGGAAGAGAUAAGUGCUGAAAGCAUCUAAGCACGAAACUUGCCCCG